CCAUGAUGCCGUGCUGCGAUAUGGCUGCCAAAGGUCAGCAGGAAGCAUGCCACUCAGUUUUGCUUCCUGCCAUUUCCCACCAGGUCCAGGGGCAGAAUGGGCCAAGGACACUGGCAGAGCCCUGUAAAGGUUAGCUUCACCAACCAUACAAUAUAUCCUUUACAGGGACCUAUAUUAAUGAAUUACUGUAAACUAUUCACUUGGCUUUAUCUCAAAACUGUGUUCAAUCGAUAUGUAAUUCACAUUAGACAAAGCACAUACUUCAGUAUAAACAGUAACAGAGUCUUUCCCUGGAUAAAUUUAGAGGGAAAUGCACUUGGCAAACUAAGGACUCCAAUUAAAAAUCACUUAGAGAUAAAUCACUGUGUCCAGAGGUGCCUAGCAAAAGGGAAAAAUAAACUUGAUUCCCAUUUCAUCCUGAAUGGUCUAAGAGAGAAUACUAAAACUUUGGAAGAAAAAAUAAAUCAAUAAAACAGCUCAGGAAUCCUUGAAAACUGAUAUUCCUAAAAUAUUUGACUAUGUCCCUACAACUCAGUUAAUAUAGUUUUAAAUUAAUUGAAUUGAAUAAAACCAACAAAAAUUAGAGAUUGAAUGUAAAUAAAAUAGAUGCAUUUAAAUAAUUAACUCAGUUAAAUAAAAAUAAAAAACACACAAACAUUAUUAAUGACUUCAUUUUGUGGUGGGGUCAGUAAAAAUAUUGGCAGUCCAACUGUAUCAGCAGAAAAAUGAAAUAUAUUAACCCUGUCAUUGGACUUUUUCCUAAUCAUACUUUAUGUUUCUGCAUCCAUGAAUCUUGGGAGCCCAAAAAAGGCAUUGUUGCUGAACACGGAUGAAUAGACACAGAUCAUUGAUGCAGGAGCAGUUCUGGUUGACUUACACAUGACUUAUCGGUGUACUGAACUCUAUAAAGAGGACGAAGAAGGGCCCUUUCACAGAUCUCUAUGUUCUAUGGACAAAUGCGAAGCAUCACAAUGACUCACCAAGCUCAUUGAAGCCACUGUAUCCGAGUUCCUGUCUGCUGAGUCCCAAGUCUUCCAGAUCCACACACUUAAACCCAGUCGGACACUGAUAACCCUCCCCGUUCGGAGAGCAGUGUGUAUCAGGGAUCGCCAGGCUGUUCCAUGUCACAUUACUGAAAAAAGACAAGAGUGUGUUUUCAAAGAAUCAUCAUCAAAUGAUAAUCUGAUCAAAUUAACCAUUAUAUUGUAACAGGCCAUCCGGUGUUUUCUCACAGAAGAGCAGUGGUAUCAUUCUCCUCUCUGGCAACAUUUACACAAUCAGCAUUUGGGACUGACAACCGUAUUUACUAACAGCUGUGAUUCUAAUUGCCCUGUACAGGACGCAUGAGUUUAUAUAAAUACAAUUAUUAAAAGAAUAUUUUAAAAAAGUAUUACAUAUAAUACUAUAUAUUAUAUAUAAUAUAAAUUACUUGAAUGAAUAGUUUUAUCAAUACACCCAGAACAUGAAACAAUAUCAUACCUCCCCCUUUUCUUGUCUUAUGCAAUCUAAGCUGUCAAAUUAUCUUUAAUAAAUAUUAAUGUUUUAA